AUUGACGGGGGCCCGCACAAGCGGUGGAGCAUGUGGUUUAAUUCGAAGCAACGCGAAGAACCUUACCAGGUCUUGACAUCCUUUGACCACUCUAGAGAUAGAGCUUCCCCUUCGGGAGCAAAGAGACAGGUGAUGCAUGGGUGUCGUCAGCUCGUGUUGUGACAUGUUGGGUUAAGUCCCGCAACGAGCGCAACCCUUAUUGUUGGUUGCCAUCAUUUAGUUGGGACCUCUAGCGAGACAGCCGGUGACAAACCGGAGGAAAGUGGGGAUAACAUCAAAUCAUCAUGCCCCUUAUGACCUGGGCUACACACGUGCUACAAUGGGAAGUACAACGAGUUGCGCGACCCGCGAGGCUAAAUAAUCUCUCAAAGCUUCUCUCAAUUCGGAUUGUGGGCUGCGCCUCUCCUACAUGAAGCCGGAAUCGCUAGUAAUCGCGGAUCCACACUGCGCGGUGAAUACCUUCCCGGGCCUUGUACACCCCGCCCCUCACAACACUAGAGUUUGUAUGCCCAAAAAUGAGCUAGGUGACCAUUCUGGAGCUCGCACGCCAAUGUGGGAUAGAUGAUUGGGGUGAAGUCGUAACAAGGUAGCCGUAUCGGAAGGUGCGGCUGGAUCACCUCCUUAAG
rnacentral:rRNA from 1 species